UACAGAGGGUGCGAGCGUUGUCCGGAAUCACUGGGCGUAAAGGGCGCGUAGGCGGCCUGAUAAGUAGGGGGUGAAAUCCUGUGGCUUAACUGCAGGGCUGCCUCCUAGACUGUUAGGCUCGAGCACGGUAGAGGCAGAUGGAAUUCCCGGUGUAGCGGUGGAAUGCGUAGAGAUCGGGAGGAACACCAGUGGCGAAGGCGGCUUCCUGGACACUAACUGACGCUGAGACGCGAAAGCGUGGGGAGCAAACAGG
rnacentral:rRNA from 1 species